UGUAAGUCAUAAACAUAUUUCUGAACAAGAAUUAGCCCAAAAGGGAAAGGGGAAAAUUCCCCAUCAGCUGGUUUUAUGAGGUCUUUGUUCUAACACCGGAAGUCCAGACAGCGACAUUUUGAGGAGGGAUGAGGUGGGGAGAUUCUCGAAGCUACAGCACAGCUAACGGCUAACAGGCCAACAACCAUCCUCCGGUAUCAACUAUGUAUUUCGGAUUAAACGAACAUUAUCUCGUUAUACAUAGCUUCAAUCAUUCAUCAAAAGCCAAAUGAAGCCAGUUGUCUCACAGUAAACAGUCCAAGGCUGUGAAGAACAUCCUACCAGUGUGCGAUGAAACCCUGAAGGACGAGAUGAAACUUGUUCCAGCUCUUUGAAGCCCAUGCAGGAUGUUUUCUUUGUUUCCUUCUCACAAGUCUAGACUCAACAUUUUUUGCUCUUAGCUCAACACACAAGUUCCAGAUUUUUUACAUCUUGAACUAUCAUUCAUAAUUAAUGUUGGAUUCACUUCAAGGAAAUAUUAAAUUUGUACUUCUAAGAAAUGUAUGUUUUUAUUUGAACAUAAUGUUCUGAUGUUUUGCUAAAUUAAACAUCAAAGAAACAGACUAUAUCUAUAAUUCCAAUGCUAACUAAUGCUUUCUAUGUUAGACAAUAGUUUUGUCUUGAAAUUUUGACACCCAUAAUUGGCUGCAAAAUACUGCAAAUGUACAGUUAAGUAAAAUUACUGUACAAAAUUUUAAUAUCAUAUUGUAGAACACAAUU